AUGUUUUGUGCUUCCCUUUGGCUAAUUGGGGUGGCCUUUCCUGGUGCUGGGGAUCUGUUCUGCUCCAGCAGAGGGAAUCCCUGGGGCCUUUCAGAGCCUCCCGUGCCUGUUUGUGUCUGCAUCUCCUCACAGCGGAGCGGUGAAUUUAUGGAACACCUCUGCUGGGAGACCACUGGCUUUUCUUCUGGUCCGGCUCUCGCAGCGGUGGAAGAAGCAAUGAUCCAUGCUGAGAACAAACAGGAGGGAACAGGUUUCAACAUGCUUUGCUGCACGGGAAUUACAGUGUCACGGCAGCUGUUAUCACUCACCGGGGGCACAGAGGCUGCUCCGUGCGGGAGCGCCGCCAAGCGCCUCGCCAUGAAGCUGAGAAUUAAAUGGCUAAUAAGGCAUCUGCUCCAAGCAGGAGUCUCAAGAUUGUGACAAAAACAGCUUACAUCAGGGUUUGGGUUAUUGGUUUUUCUUGCCAUCAUAUAAUCAUGUUAUUAAAAUCUUUAGGGAUACCUGAUUAGAGGUAGUGACUGUCAAAGGCAGCUCAGCUGGCAGAGCAGAUAAGUAGGAGGUAUGUCCUGGUCUUAGCUGGGUGCUGCAGCUCUGCCUGGAGAUGAUGGGGUUCCUCUGAGCCCCAAGUGCCUGUGCAUGGGGGCUUGGGUGGGAUGGGUCUGUCUCAGGAGGAGAGCUGAACAGGCAUCUUGGAGAGCAGAAGAUGCACUGUGUUGGGUUGGGUGCAUAUAACUAAUACAAUUUUUUUUUUAUUUUCAAAAAAUCUAUUAAAGAAAAUAUAUUGUCAGACCUGUCAUUUGCAUGUUAACUUGAACUCCAAGUUCACACUAAUUCAGUUAAUUAAAGCUAUAUCUUGAUAGAAUGUGUUUUAUCCAUUGUGACUCUGGUCUUCAGUGCUGUGAUUAGCAAUUCUUGAAGAUAAAUAUUUUCAGUUGUGCUGGGCAUUGCUUCUGUUGCUUCCAUUGCUUCCAGUUAGAAAGUGUUGCUUAUUGCAAAGUCUCUGAGACUGCUACAGUGAUGGGCCUAGGAAAAAUAAAAUCUGGUUUUUAAUGAUGAAAUACUGAAUA
rnacentral:lncRNA from 1 species